rnacentral:rRNA from 1 species
UAAUACGUAGGGUGCGAGCGUUAAUCGGAAUUACUGGGCGUAAAGCGUGCGCAGGCGGUUUUGCAAGUCAGAUGUGAAAGCCCCGGGCUCAACCUGGGAAUGGCGUUUGAAACUGCAAGGCUAGAGUGUGUCAGAGGGGGGUAGAAUUCCACGUGUAGCAGUGAAAUGCGUAGAGAUGUGGAGGAAUACCGAUGGCGAAGGCAGCCCCCUGGGAUAACACUGACGCUCAUGCACGAAAGCGUGGGGAGCAAACAGGAUUAGAUACCCUGGUAGUCCACGCCCUAAACGAUGUCAACUAGUUGUCGGGAGGGUAACCCUCUUGGUAACGCAGCUAACGCGUGAAGUUGACCGCCUGGGGAGUACGGUCGCAAGAUUAAAACUUAAAGGAAUUGACGG